UGGCGGGUCGCUUAAUUGGUAAAGCACAAUUUUGCCCUUUGGGACGCAGAUUUAGGGUUAUCGUCUGUAACACGAAUCCCCCCUUAAUCGCUGAGAUGCGGGUUCAAUUCCUGCUCCGCUAC
rnacentral:tRNA from 1 species